UGGGGAAUAUUGGGCAAUGGGCGCAAGCCUGACCCAGCAACGCCGCGUGAGGGAAGAAGGCUUUCGGGUUGUAAACCUCUGUCCUUGGUGACGAAGGAAGUGACGGUAGCCAAGGAGGAAGCCCCGGCUAACUACGUGCCAGCAGCCGCGGUAAUACGUAGGGGGCGAGCGUUGUCCGGAAUUACUGGGCGUAAAGGGUGCGUAGGCGGUCUUUUAAGUUGGAUGUGAAAUCCCCGGGCUUAACUUGGGGUCUGCAUCCAAUACUGGGAGACUAGAGUGCAGGAGAGGGAAGCGGAAUUCCUAGUGUAGCGGUGAAAUGCGUAGAUAUUAGGAGGAACACCAGUGGCGAAGGCGGCUUUCUGGACUGUAACUGACGCUGAGGCACGAAAGCGUGGGGAGCAAACAGG
rnacentral:rRNA from 1 species